rnacentral:rRNA from 1 species
UAGUCCACGCCGUAAACGAUGGUUACUAGCUGUUCGGACUUCGGUUUGAGUGGCUAAGCGAAAGUGAUAAGUAACCCACCUGGGGAGUACGUUCGCAAGAAUGAAACUCAAAGGAAUUGACGGGGGCCCGCACAAGCGGUGGAGCAUGUGGUUUAAUUCGAUGAUACGCGAGGAACCUUACCCAGGCUCUAAUGCUAAGCGCAAUUUGGUGAAAGCCGAAAGUUCUUCGGACGUUUUAGUAAGGUGCUGCAUGGUUGUCGUCAGCUCGUGCCGUGAGGUGUUGGGUUAAGUCCCGCAACGAGCGCAACCCUUGUUUCCAGUUGCCAGCACAUAAUGGUGGGGACUCUGGAGAGACUGCCGGCGCAAGCCGCGAGGAAGGUGGGGACGACGUCAAAUCAUCAUGGCCUUUAUGCCUGGGGCUACACACGUGCUACAAUGGUAGGUACAGGGGGCAGCGAAGCGGCGACGUGGAGCCAAUCCCUUAAAGCCUAUCCCAGUUCCGGAUUGGAGUCUGCAACUCGACUCC